rnacentral:rRNA from 1 species
AGUGAACGCUGGCGGUAGGCCUAACACAUGCAAGUCGAACGGCAGCACAGUAAGAGCUUGCUCCUACGGGUGGCGAGUGGCGGACGGGUGAGGAAUACAUCGGAAUCUACUUUUUCGUGGGGGAUAACGUAGGGAAACUUACGCUAAUACCGCAUACGUCCUACGGGUGAAAUCAGGGGAUCUUCGGACCUUGCGCGAUUCAAUGAGCCGAUGUCGGAUUAGCUAGUUGGCGGGGUAAAGGCCCACCAAGGCGACGCUCCGUAGCUGGUCUGAGAGGAUGAUCAGCCACACUGGAACUGAGACACGGUCCAGACUCCUACGGGAGGCAGCAGUGGGGAAUAUUGGACAAUGGGCGAAAGCCUGAUCCAGCAAUACCGCGUGGGUGAAGAAGGCCUUCGGGUUGUAAAGCCCUUUUGUUGGGGAAGAAAAGCAGCAGGUUAAUACCCCGAUGUUCUGACGGUACCCAAAGAAUAAGCACCGGCUAACUUCGUG